rnacentral:rRNA from 1 species
GUAGGGAAUAUUGGGCAAUGGAGGCAACUCUGACCCAGCCAUGCCGCGUGCAGGAUGACGGCCCUCUGGGUUGUAAACUGCUUUUAUACGGGAAGAAAAAAUACUACGUGUAGUAUACUGACGGUACCGUAAGAAUAAGGAUCGGCUAACUCCGUGCCAGCAGCCGCGGUAAUACGGAGGAUCCAAGCGUUGUCCGGAGUUAUUGGGUUUAAAGGGUGCGUAGGCGGAUCUUUAAGUCAGUGGUGAAAGCCUGCAUCUUAACUGUAGAAUUGCCAUUGAAACUGAAGAUCUUGAAUGUGGUUAAAGUAGGCGGAAUGUAUCAUGUAGCGGUGAAAUGCUUAGAUAUGAUACAGAACACCGAUAGCGAAGGCAGCUUGCUGAACCAUUAUUGACGCUGAGGCACGAAAGCGUGGGGAGCGAACAGGAUUAGAAACCCCAGUAGUCC